rnacentral:rRNA from 1 species
GACGAACGCUGGCGGCGUGCCUAAUACAUGCAAGUCGAGCGAAUCAAUAGGAGCUUGCUCCUGUUGGUUAGCGGCGGACGGGUGAGUAACACGUGGGCAACCUGCCUGUAAGACUGGGAUAACACCGGGAAACCGGUGCUAAUACCGGAUAAUCCUUUUCCUCUCAUGAGGAAAAGCUGAAAGUCGGUUUCGGCUGACACUUACAGAUGGGCCCGCGGCGCAUUAGCUAGUUGGUGAGGUAACGGCUCACCAAGGCGACGAUGCGUAGCCGACCUGAGAGGGUGAUCGGCCACACUGGGACUGAGACACGGCCCAGACUCCUACGGGAGGCAGCAGUAGGGAAUCUUCCACAAUGGACGAAAGUCUGAUGGAGCAACGCCGCGUGAGCGAUGAAGGCCUUCGGGUCGUAAAGCUCUGUUGUUAGGGAAGAACAAGUAUCGGAGUAACUGCCGGUACCUUGACGGUACCUAACCAGAAAGCCACGGCUAACUACGUGCCAGCAGCCGCAGUAACAC